UACGGAGGGUGCGAGCGUUAAUCGGAAUUACUGGGCGUAAAGCGUACGUAGGCGGGUCUGUAAGUAGAGGGUGAAAUCCCAGGGCUCAACCCUGGAACUGCCUUCUAGACUGCAGGCCUCGAGGUCAGGAGAGGCGAGUGGAAUACCGAGUGUAGAGGUGAAAUUCGUAGAUAUUCGGUGGAACACCAGUGGCGAAGGCGACUCGCUGGACUGAUACUGACGCUGAGGUGCGAAAGCGUGGGGAGCAAACAGG
rnacentral:rRNA from 1 species